rnacentral:lncRNA from 1 species
CCCUAGCCUUGAACCUUUGCUAGAUGACUUGCUCCCAAAGAAGUCACCUAUGAUUGUUGUUAAAUGGUUAGUAGUUUCUCUUUCUUGUUUAGUGUGCUCGCUAACAUGUCAUUAUUGAUAUUGACAUACCUAAAAUUGCAUUUGGUAAUUCCAUUUUCUUAAUGAUUUUUUUAUUUAUUUUAGACUAAGUAAAUGUGUGAAUCAAUUUUCAUUUCCCUCAUUUGCAAGAUCAUGUGUUCCCUUUCAAGUGCACUGACCACAGUUUGUUUCUUUCUUGCUGCAGCCAAAACCAUCUGAAUCUUGUGGUGGUGAAUAAUGUCCCGCUAUUUUUCAACAUCCGUGAUGGUCCUUACAUGCCAACGCUGCGUCUUCUUCACCAAUGUAAUCGUGUUUCUUUCAAAUUUCCUGGAAUGUCAUCUCUGAAUCUUUAUUCCAAUGUUAUGCACCAUGAUGUUUUAGGGCUCAUUCUAUCUUGUCAUGCAUAUCUGUUAGGAUGCCAUCAUUCUUAAAGUUUACCUGUUGGAGAAUAUUAACUGGAAUAAAAACUACUUACAUUUGAUCAGAUCCUGAAAUCAUGAAAAAGUUCCAAGUGGACAGAGGUGCUAUCAAAUUUGUGCUCUCUGGUGCAAACAUAAUGUGUCCUGGAUUGACGUCACCUGGCGGUGUCUUGGAUGAUGAAGUCGAGGAGGAAACACCAGUGGUAAUGACUAAUAAACUUCUAAUCCAUUCAUGAAUGAUUCUUGUCUGUUUCAGUGACAGUUUGCAUCGAAAAUUUCUAUAUUGAGACUUUUUGUAUGCUUCUGUUGCAUUCGUAGAGUGUAUACACUUUAAAUUGUCCAUAUUAAGAUAUUUUGCUUCAUAUGGUUUAUCUAUGCAUGAUAAUCCACAACAAUUUCUUAACAACCUUCUUCCUCCCCCUGAACAUGCCUGCUGCCACUCAUAUUUUUUUUUCAAAUCUGUUUUGCCAGGCUAUAAUGGCUGAAGGCAAACAACACGCACUGGCAAUUGGAUUUACAAAGAUGUCAGCGAAGGACAUGUAAGUUCCUUUAUGCAGGAUUGUUCCAAAUUGAUUCUUUUUAGUCUGUAAAUUUUACUUCUGAAGUGUGAACCUUACACUCUUGUGAGUGUUUACUAAUAUUCAGCUUUAACUGUGCAAGUUUUUUAUGUGUACUUGUGGUUGUUUUGUAUGAUUUGCCAUCUUUUAUUUUCUAAUGAUACCUGCCAUUGCAUUCUGAACAUACGAGACAGGAUUUUAGCUUUUCUUACCAUUGCAUCCCACAUUCCCACAUAAUAUUAGGUACUAACAUGUCUUCUGCUGGCAAUACUGCUCCUGAUUAUUUUUGCAGAAGGACCAUCAACAAAGGGAUUGGAGUUGAUAAUAUGCACUAUCUAAAUGAUGGCCUAUGGAAGGUACUUGUCUUUCCCUGUGUCUCCCUCAUCACCUUCCUUCUCUGGUUGCGAACAUCAAAUUGUCGCAUUAAGUUAACUAUAGCAUUGCAAGUAGAUUUGCUAGCUUAUUCUUUACAAUUAUAGUAUUAAGUAGUGAAUGACAAAUAUAGCUUUGUUCAUGAGCAAUGUAGUGAGAUUGCUGGAAUGGAGAAAGGGCGGGAACUUAAUAAUUUUAUCGGUUAUUCUUCAGAGUUUGUUGGCUCAGGUGAUACUGAUCCCUUUUUUUUUUCAUUUUGACAGAUGGAAAAGCUCGAAUAAGAAGAAUACAGUGAGGGAUGCUGAACUUACAGUAUGGUCAUAUUGCAAUGUAAGGACCAGUAGAACUAUGUAUCUACACAGCUGGUAUCGUUUGAACAAAUGAAGUAUCCAGAAGCUACAUUUUCCGGAUAGAAGUUGAGUUUACUCCGCCCCUUUUGUGUUGGAAUGUCUGUUGAGACACCUUGAAUGCGGUGUUCAGCGCUUUAAAUGGCAAUACUGGAAUCCUUUGUAUGAUCCUGUCAGCUUAUCAUUAGUCAGUGCGCUUUCACCAAAACAAUUUACAUUGAAUGGAAACAAGAAAAUCCUUAAAGCUCGACAUGAGUAAUUUGAUUUUAGUUUGUAUUUUAUAACUUCUUUUCGUUGACUAACACCUUGAAUGCGGUGUUCAGCGCUUUAAAUGGCAAUACUGGAAUCCUUUGUAUAAUCCUGUCAGCUUAUCAUUAGUCGGUGUGCUUUCACCAAAACAAUUUACAUUGAAAUGGAAACGAGAAAAUCCUUAAAGCUUGACAUGAGUAAUUUGAUUUUAGUUUGUAUUUCAUCACUUCUUUUCGUUGACCAACACCUGGUUAGUAGAUAGCUCUUCCAUAAGUUUUUUAUAUAUUGAUGCUUUAUUUUCUUGACUGGUUUUAUUGGGUCAUAGUAUUGCACAACAUGGCAUGCAAACAAAUUGGGAUAAAUAACUUAACGGUCCAAGACUCAUGUAUUGGUGUUUGCAUGCUGGAUUAACAAGCAUGUUCAAUAAUCUCCAAUUGGUUACCAGUAUGGUCAAAUAUAAGGUCUUUGACUGUAGAUGCUUCAUCUGAGUUCCCACUUUUCUCAAAGAUUUUUGUGGCCAUUGUAGUUAUCGGUGCAUGUUCAAUAAUCUCCAAAUGAAUCCAGUUGGUUAUGGAUUUGUGACAAUCCAACAAUUGAGUACAAAUUCAUGUUAGAGCAGUUGGCGGGUUUUAUGGACUCCAAAUCUGUAGUGUUUUGCAUGAACUCCAAAUCCGUAGUGUAAAGAAACUGGAAGUAAGCACAGCAUGCUAGGUCGUACGAUUCCCAUUUAUCAAACUCCAUCUCAUAUGAAUUUCAGAAUAAACAUUUCAAACCCUGAACUUCCCUUUUGUUUUGUGUAAGGCAAUUUUGCAGCCAAACAAUAGCGAAUGGGAUCCAAACCCAAAGAGUUAAAUAAAGGAAUUUGCUUCGUAGGCCUGCAAAGGGAGCGGAUCGGAUUGCCCCUCAAAGCGCCCCGCUGAACCCUUUGCGCAAAGGCAGGAUCAAGAGUCGAUCCGCCCCUUGAUUUCUUCAAGUCAGAAUGACCUGCGGGGCACCGCGGGCCGAACCUCCCAAGCAUGCAGCGUGCGCCUGUACGCGAUCAGCAAGGCACGGACCAAAAUUAGGUUGGUAGAAGAUUGUUUUCAUUUCUCGUGCAGCUAUUAAACAUUUACGAGAAAAAACACAGAAAAAUAACAAGAAAAAAAAUCGAUAAAAAUUCUAACAUACAGUCAGCAUUAACCCAAUCUAACGUAUCAUUGUUUUUACAAAACAAUGUUUGACUCCAAGCUUUAGCAAGGUAGCGCCAAAAUCCAAAAUAGCAUUCAGACUCCAAUUUUGAGCUUGUUUCUGCAUCACUUGCUUGUUGCCUUCUUGCUCCCUUUGCCGAUUCAUGAGACCAGCAACAAAGAUAAAAUACAGUAAAUUCAGAUCGGAAGAGAUAUCAAAAGAACGAUGUUUUGCUCUAAAGAACAAAAGGAAUUAACUUGCAUGAUUUUUUUAUCUAUUGGUUUUCCCAAGUACACAAGGAUCCAUUGUCAGCAACAAAACUGUAGGGAACAUCCAUGGUAAAAAUUAUGAUUAGUUGUCUUCACAUGACUACAAAUUCAGCAACAUAUUUUUAUCAAGGAACAUCCGUGGGCAGAGAGAGAUUCAGGAAGCUGUUGGAUUAAACACUACAUCAUUGUUCCCUUUGAAACAAUGCUUCGAAAUCCAAACAACAAAAAACAUGCUCUAACACAGGAUGCACGAACGUUUCUACUAGUCCCAGCCCCCACAUCAAGCCGCAACAAAAUAGCAGCCGCAGCCGCCUCUCGUGCUGCGAGCCGUCCCGUUCUGCUCCGUCUCCGUCCAUCGACAGGAGCCCCCUCCGCCGCAGCGAGGUGCUCAAUACCUGAGAUCGGAGGCACCUCGGAAGGCGUCUUGGUCCAGCCGCGCUUCCGCCCGGACGCAGGAGCAAGUUUCCUGCUUCGUCGAUGGAUGAUCCGGAAGCGCGCCCAUCAACGGUGUCACGGGUUUGGCACCUUGACACGAGAAAUAUACUUCUCAUUUGUAAGUUCUGAUACUGUGAAAUUAUGAUAUGUGGUGGGUUCGGUUUUUACUUAGAUUUGUAAUAUCGUAAGAUCGUACGAUCGGGAUCUAAGUUCCUAGCUAACAACCUUGCUAAGUACUAGUUUAUGAGUAAUUAAGUAUCGUACUUUCUAGAAUACUCCUUAGGGGUGUUUGGGAGACAGGGGCUAAACUUUAGCCCUGUCACAUUGGAUAUUCAGAUGCUAAUUAGGAGGACUAAACAUGAGCUAAUUACAAAACUAAUAGCAAAACCCCUAGGCUAAAUCACGAGACGAAUCUAUUAAGCCUAAUUAAUCCAUCAUUAGCGAAUGGUUACUGUAGCACCAUAUUGUCAAAUCAUACACUAAUUAGGCUUAAUAGAUUCGUCUCGCAAUUUAACCUAGGGGUUGUGCAAUUAGUUUUGUAAUUAGCUUAUGUUUACUACUCCUAUUUAGAGUCCAAAUAUCCGAUGUGACAGUGGUACUCCAAGGGAGGGGGGAGCACAACUUUUUGUGUUGUUUCGUGAAUUGAUCGAAGUACGGUUGUUUAGUUCACCCCCAAAUCCUAACUUUAGUACUAUUCAAAAAAAAGAUUCUCCAUCACAUCAAACUUGCAGUACAUGCAUGGAGUACUAAAUGUAGACGAAAUUAAAAACUAAUUGCACAAUUUUGUUGUACUUUGCGAGACGAAUCUUUUGAGCCUAAUUAGUCAAUGUUUGGACAAUAAUUCACAAAUACAAACGAAAUGCUACAGUGUGCUACAGUGCUGGCACAAUGAUUUUUGCAUUUCAAAAUUGGGCAACUAAACAUGACCCUAUUUUGUUUGUGGAUCAUUACCGUUCCGAAGGUUCCAUGCUAUACUGCACGCAGUCACGCACAGCUUCAAAUCGGAUAGGAACCUUGAGGGUAAAAGUCAGAGAAGUUACGUUCCAAAAAAAAAAA